rnacentral:lncRNA from 1 species
AUUAUGGGCAUCAGCAGCAGUGCCCAUCAUAGAGUAUACUUUGCCACGACACAAGCUCUGAGGAGAGACAAGCCCCCACCACAAGAAACAGCAACUGUGUCCAGGAGUAUGUAAGAGGAGGGAUGAUGAACACAUCUGCACUUUGGAAAGAAUUACAGUGGUGAUGUGAAGACACAGUUGGAAAGCAGCAAAAGUAGGAGGGAAAGAAAUUGGCAUCUCGAAGUAACUUUAGAAGAACAGAAAUCAACUUGGCUGAAUUUCUUGGUUGAAAUCUGUAAGUAGCAAUGAGCACUGCUGGUGACAUUGUAGAAAUAUAAGAGAACUCAGUGACUAGACUAGAUGGGGUGGUUUUCAGAGACAGCAAGGCAGGUGCUAAAGGGUCAAGGUUUCAAAGUCUUAUCUCUAAGGGGAAGAUGGUGCCAAGGACAAGGGAAAGUUCCUUAAAGAUAUGAAAGGUCUCACCCACUGAAAAAGAUCAAGAAAGGCUUCAAGGAAAAAGAAGGGCAUGUGAUGUGGAUGCUGGAUAGAGCUAAGGUGAAUCAAAGCCUUGUAGGCAAGGAUAGGGAUGUGUUUAAAGACCAGUGAACAGCUUAUUUAAUUGGAAUGGAAAGCCUGAGCAGGGCAUGAUGGGUUACAAUAAGAUUGGAAAGGAGGGUCAUGGCCGCAUAGCUGAGGACUUUGAGUGCCAGGGUUAAGAGUGGGCAUAUUGCAUCCAGUAAGGUAUGUGAAUCUAUCAAAAGUUCUUGAAAAGAGUGGUGCAAGAGGUUAAAUUGAAGUGGGGAAGGAUUGUAAAUGUUGGUGACUCCAAAACUCUUGCCAGAGGCAAUAGGGGUUGGAUUACGGAGAUGCAGUAGUAAUAUAAGAAAGGAAAUGAAUGUGGGAAACACCACGGAGAUAAAGUGUUUAGAGUUUAACAAUUAAUUGGCUGUCAAGGUAAUGAUCUGGGGAUGGGGGAUAAAGUGAGGAGAAAAACAUAUUGGAAGUACCAAAAAAAAAAAAAAGCACAGGGAGAAGUGUUCAAAGGAGAUUCUAAGGGUUUCAGUCUGGGUAGAUCAUGGUAACUGUAACUGAAAUAGCUUAGUUAUACAGAUGACAAGAGUACAUUUGUGACAUACAUACAUGACAAUGAGACACACAUACACAUUUGCUCAUUUCAAUCUGUAGCUAAUAUCAUUUAUCUCCAUGUUAAAAAAAAGCAAAAAAAAUUAAAAAAAGAAGGGGAAGGAUAAAAAAUGAGAUUACUUCUUACAAUGGUAAGAGAUACUCGUUUUUAUUGGCACUAAUUAAGGAAGAAUAUUAUUGCAGUACUGUUAUAGUUCUGAGUAGUCAAAACUCUAGAAGCAGAUUCCUUUUCACUGCUUUUCUUCUUGUGCUAAAACCUACAGCAUGAGAAAAGCAACACAGAAAUCUGUGAAUUGUGGUCCUUCUAUGCAGCUAUUUUUAAUCUUUCAAAAAUGCCUAGACUUUAG